rnacentral:rRNA from 1 species
UACGUAGGGGGCAAGCGUUGUCCGGAAUCAUUGGGCGUAAAGCGCGUGUAGGCGGCCCGGUAAGUCCGCUGUGAAAGUCCAGGGCUCAACCCUGGGAUGCCGGUGGAUACUGUCGGGCUCGAGUCCGGAAGAGGCGAGUGGAAUUCCUGGUGUAGCGGUGAAAUGCGCGGAUAUCAGGAGGAACACCAAUGGCGAAGGCAGCUCGCUGGGACGUGACUGACGCUGAGACGCGAAAGCGUGGGGAGCAAACAGG